rnacentral:tRNA from 3 species
GCCCCCGUAGCUCAGAUGGUUAGAGCAGCGGACUUUUAAUCCGCGGGUCCUGGGUUCGAGUCCCAGUGGGGGCACCU